AAAAGGGGCAACAGCAAAAGUUGCCACAAACGCAAUUAUUGCUGCGCAGAGGUAUCAAUUACAUACGAGCACUACUUCAGCUACCCCUACACUUGCGGCGACAAUGACUUCGAGCACAUCAGCACAUCAACAGCAACAACAGCAGCAAACUCCAACAAUUAAGCAACAAACAACAAAUACAUUACCAUCACAACCCCAACCACCUCCACCACAGCAAUCACAACAAACUGCCGUCGGUGUUACUGCAACUAUAACCACAAAUAGUAAUGGUCAGCAACAUCAUAUAACCCAACUUCAGCAACAACAGUCACAUAUAAGCCAACAACAUUAUAAUACUACUUAUCUGCAUGAUACUAAUAAUACGGCUGCAGGCACAACUGCAGUAGCACGUCCACCACUACAGACUGUGAGCUACUAUUAUCAACAACAUACAGCUACAGGUGAAAUAAUUGUAGCUGCAACACCAACAUCUAUUGCGUCAGCUGGAACAGGCAAUGGUUAUACACAUGUGACGUAGAUGAAAAGCAGUCUGCGACAAUAGUCGGCUAGCAGUUUAGUUUAAUAUUUGCUGCGCGUCAACAACUUGCCACAAAUAGAUUGAAACUAUCCAAAUUUACGAUGUUUCGAUUGGUAUCGAUGGCAAAUAUUUAAAAACUGUCCUACGUCAAAAUAUCACAAUUUUAUUCUGACAGUAAUUAAAAUGUGUUUUAAAAACUACCGAUGACCCAGAAUUUGUAGCGAAUAAAAGUGUUUGAAAAUA
rnacentral:misc_RNA from 1 species